rnacentral:rRNA from 1 species
UCGAGGACACGCUGGCGGCGUGCCUAACACAUGCAAGUGGAGCGACGAACCAGGGGCUUGCCCUGGGGCAAAGCCGCGAACGGGUGAGUAACACGUGGGUAACCUGCCCUGAUGAUUGGGACAACCCGGGGAAACUCGGGCUAAUACCAAAUGUGCUCAGCAGCCACAAGGCUGCUUGAGGAAAGGUAGCUUCGGCUUCCGCAUCAGGAUGGGCCCGCGGCCCAUUAGCUUGUUGGUGGGGUAAUGGCCUACCAAGGCGACGAUGGGUAGCUGGUCUGAGAGGAUGAUCAGCCACACUGGGACUGAGACACGGCCCAGACUCCUACGGGAGGCAGCAGUGGGGAAUCUUGCGCAAUGCGCGAAAGCGUGACGCAGCAACGACGCGUGGAGGAAGACGGCCUUCGGGUUGUAAACUCCUUUCAGUUGGGACGAAGCUUCGGCGGUGAAUAGCCGUUCGGAGUGACGGUACCUUCAGAAGAAGCCCCGGCUAACUACGUG